rnacentral:rRNA from 1 species
AUUGAACGCUGGCGGCAGGCCUAACACAUGCAAGUCGAACGGUAACAGGAAGAGGCUUGCUUCUUUGCUGACGAGUGGCGGACGGGUGAGUAAUGUCUGGGAAACUGCCUGAUGGAGGGGGAUAACUACUGGAAACGGUAGCUAAUACCGCAUAACGUCGCAAGACCAAAGAGGGGGACCUUCUGGCCUCUUGCCAUCGGAUGUGCCCAGAUGGGAUUAGCUAGUAGGUGGGGUAACGGCGCACCUAGGCGACGAUCCCUAGCUGGUCUGAGAGGAUGACCAGCCACACUGGAACUGAGACACGGUCCAGACUCCUACGGGAGGCAGCAGUGGGGAAUAUUGCACAAUGGGCGCAAGCCUGAUGCAGCCAUGCCGCGUGUAUGAAGAAGGCCUUCGGGUUGUAAAGUACUUUCAGCGGGGAGGAAGGGAGUAAAGUUAAUACCUUUGCUCAUUGACGUUACCCGCAGAAGAAGCACCGGCUAACUCCGUG